GAGUUUGCCAGUCGUGUCGGACGUUAAACAAUUCCUACAGGAUGGCUGCAAAACGGGAACGUACAGAAUAACAACUGGCCUUAAUGAAGUUUGUGCACAAGUUGUUCCACUCCUGCAUGAUCCCGAUUUUCAGUGCAUCGACAUUAGAGUGAGAAGUCUUGUUCGUCUAGCCCUCUAAAACACACCGAACAGUGAAGUCCAGGGGGUUCAUGUUGAGUGAGAAAGAAUACCAACAGUCUGUUGGGCAGAAGGCAGUAAUGUUUUCCCUGCAAAAAUGCUGCACCUUGUUGGACGUGUGUGCCAGGGCCCGGUCUUGUUUCAACACAUAAUUAUCCCUGGAGAACGUGCUCUUCAACCAUGGCAAGAUAUGGUACAUGAGGACCUUGUAAUAGGCGUCCAUAUUGACUUUCUCGUUGGCCUUGAAGAAGUAGGGAGGCAUCUUGCUGGCGUCGGAAGCCAUGACCUGAGUUGGAUAUUUGGUCCUCAAGAUUCACUUGACCUGAGCUACUGAUUCCGCAAAGAAGAGAUCAUUUCUCUUGUUCAGAACAGUGUCAUCUGUGAAGAUCUUCUUCUCGGAGAUCGUACACCCUCUGCCUUUUUGCUUGUUGCUCCAACAUUUUUGAUUGCUCAAAUACAAAACAAACAUCAAUUUCUAGCUUUUUGUCAGCCUUGAACUGAGACUAGAAUGUCACGAAAGUGAGUCUAAUUUUUGAUUUCUCCCCAAUGUAUAGUUGACACUUUCUUCUUCUUCAAAUGGGGAUUUUUCCCCGUAAUCUCUUCCUUCAAACGCCUUAAUAACGCUAUAUAAUAUUCACUACUAUUGAUAUUUCCCUUCUCAAGCUAGUCUUGGGACGAAGUUCACCAUAUGCUGUCCACUCAUAUGACAAUCGUUAUAAUUACGGAGUGAUUUUAUGGAUCCAUAUUUCAUCCAUUAUUCCGGAUUGACACAAAAAUUCCUGUUUUUACGUUUGAACAUGGUCAAACAUUACUCAGAACCAUCAGCACGUUUUUGUUUUUGUCAACAAUGAGCAAAUGCAGCAACACAGAUUUCACAUGGAAAAAAUUUCAUGCAAUAUAAACGUUCUUCUGACUGACUUAACUAUGUCAGCUAAAUCACACAAUUUCACUUACCGCUCACUUUAGACGAUUUUGUGGACUUUUUUGAUAUUUUGGCUGUUACCGCCUUAUUAAGGCGUAUACUGAGUUUUAUAUCAUUGCUGUAUCUACGACCACGUUUGAGUUCAGCAACCUAACGUUAAAUUAUUAGAACUGACCGAAUGGAGUCCUCAUAAUACUUUUUAAGCCAAUAUUUUUUUCAUCAGAAAAGUCUGCGAGAUUUUGCUGGGUUUCCUAAUAUUAAUUAAUAAGGCAAGGGCUCCAGAGCAUCAAAAAAUUGAAAUAUCCCCAUGUGCAUUCCCAAAAUACAUAUUUGAUGCCACGAUUAUAGUCUUUUGAAGAACACAUCGAUGGAUUAUCAUAUUUAAUCUAAUAAAGCAUAUUUAUCUUUAAGAUCCUUCAAGUUUUUCAAAUGUUUGGACUAAAUAAUUGAUAGAUUUUAAUUUUUCAUCCUUACAUGGAAAGAGUUAGACCAUUUUUUUUUUUUACUUUUGUCGAUAGUAGACUUCAGCAUGACGUGUAGCAUGAUUGAUCAUAAGAUAAAUGAUGUGAAUUUAUAACUAUGUCACAUUUAUGUUUUUAAUUAAGUUCCAAAGAUACCUAAAUUUUAACAUUUUAAUGGCCAAGUUGUGACAUCAUCCCAUAUGCAUUCAUCGUUUAAGUAUCAAACUAAACUAUCGUGUAUAUAAUGUAUUUUUUCUACACUA
rnacentral:lncRNA from 1 species